ensembl:snRNA U6 U6 spliceosomal RNA
UUGCUUUAGCUGCACACAUACUAAAACUGCAAAACCACAGAGAUCAUUAGCAAGGGCCCCUGCAUAAGGAUGACAUAGAAAUUUGUAAAGAGUCUCAUAUUUUU